rnacentral:rRNA from 1 species
AAUAGAUACCCCGGUAGUCCAUGCCGUAAACGAUGUCUACUAGCCGUUGGGGCCCUUGAGGCUUUAGUGGCGCAGCUAACGCGAUAAGUAGACCGCCUGGGGAGUACGGUCGCAAGACUAAAACUCAAAUGAAUUGACGGGGGGCCCGCACAAGCGGUGGAGCAUGUGGUUUAAUUCGAUGCAACGCGAAGAACCUUACCUGGCCUUGACAUACAGAGAACUUUCCAGAGAUGGAUUGGUGCCUUCGGGAACUCUGAUACAGGUGCUGCAUGGCUGUCGUCAGCUCGUGUCGUGAGAUGUUGGGUUAAGUCCCGCAACGAGCGCAACCCUUUUCCUUAUUUGCCAGCACUUCGGGUGGGAACUUUAAGGAUACUGCCAGUGACAAACUGGAGGAAGGCGGGGACGACGUCAAGUCAUCAUGGCCCUUACGGCCAGGGCUACACACGUGCUACAAUGGUCGGUACAAAGGGUUGCUACUGCGCGAGCAGAUGCUAAUCUCAAAAAGCCGAUCGUAGUCCGGAUCGCAGU